GAAAUGCAGCACCUAUCUCGUUGCCUUGCCCAUGGCAAUGUUGGCAACUGUCACCAAGUCAACUUGGUCCUGGCAGGUGAAUGUGCUGGUGUUGAGCAAGGGACAGAAAUGAAGAGUGCAGUGCAUGCAGCAGGCAAAGCUGCACAAACCCCUUUUGGAAGGAGAUGGUCACUGUCACCAGCACAGGUAGGAGCUGGGGAGAACCAAAGCUCCAGGGAGCCAGGAUUUGGUGACUGCAGAGAAUUAAAGGGCUGUGAUAAUACGUUGGGAUGUGG
ensembl:lncRNA